GUGUACCCGCGUCCACUGCCGGUUCUGAGCGCGCCGUACGCGCCCACUGACAGCUGCUCACUACGUUUUGUUAGAG
rnacentral:sRNA from 1 species